GUGCCAGCCGCCGCGGUAAUACGUAGGGUGCGAGCGUUGUCCGGAAUUACUGGGCGUAAAGAGCUCGUAGGUGGUUUGUCGCGUCGUCUGUGAAAUUCUGGGGCUUAACUCCGGGCGUGCAGGCGAUACGGGCAUAACUUGAGUGCUGUAGGGGUAACUGGAAUUCCUGGUGUAGCGGUGAAAUGCGCAGAUAUCAGGAGGAACACCGAUGGCGAAGGCAGGUUACUGGGCAGUCACUGACGCUGAGGAGCGAAAGCAUGGGUAGCAAACAGGAUUAGAUACCCUGGUAGUCAAGGGCGAAUUCGUU
rnacentral:rRNA from 1 species